AUGUAUGUACGUACAUACACACUUGGGCAGCAUUUCAUUCCAGAGAGAUGUCACUCUCCUUACCCAGGUGUGUGUGUGUGUGUGUGUGUGUGUGUGUGUGUGUGUGUGUGUGUGUGUGUGUGUGUGUGUGUGUCCUCUCCCUCAGGGCUGCCAGGUGAAGCUGGAGGAGGCCUUGCUUUUUGUUCUGCAUCUCAUCAUCUGGUCAUCUCUGGCAGUGGCACUAGUGGAGACUGUAGGGUUUGUGAGUGUGGCUCAGCUGAUGAGGGACCAGCCUCUGUUGAAGUAUGGAAUACUGGACAGGGAGUGGGCCUGAACCAGAGUGGCAGAAAGUAUUCUGGACUGAGAAUCUACUUUAGAAAUACUAUGUCCUGGAACUUGGUAAAGUUCAUGAUGCUGUGGACCUUAAAGGCCCAGUACUGUCACAAAUGUGAUUUACCUGUGUUUUAUAUAAUAUUUCCAAAGGUACACACACACACACCAGCCCUGGCCUUCACACUGAGGUUGGAAGAAUACUAUGAAAUUGUGAAAAUGCUGAUAAGGCCUUUUUAGUGUAAGAGCUGUUUGAAAAGACUGCUCUCUAGUGGUGUGUGUGUGUGUGGUUAUAGUUGUCUGGGCAUGUCCAGAGCACCUAGGGUACCAUUACAGGUAAUUGAUGUAAUCAUCCCUGAUCUUGUUGGUGAAACUGCUUUUAAAAGAGUGAUUAUCUUUCUUUGUUUCACUAAACUAAUGUAUACACAUCUGUGAAGGGAGGAAGGAAGAUGUACUCUAAAAGUGUUGGAAAGUGUCAUACACUUCCUUCGUUUCAUAAGGAUCAACUGGAAUACGUAAUGGCCUCUGUUUUGGUUUGUUUGUUUUUGUUCACUGAUGUAGAUACAUGCUGGUUAAAGAAAGCACUCCAUCAAAAUAAAUUGUCACAUGUCCUGCAGAUGAUAUAUUAAUGACAUUUUUAAACUACCCUGCCUGGCUUUUGAGUAAUUGACUGGUUGAUACUGUGCUGUGUGACUAUUGUUUGAUUUUAACUUACUGGUUUAUAGCUGGGGGAUUCUGCAACUUCGGGCCCUUUGACCCUGCAAGCUUUCAGAAAUUAAAAGUUAUUGAAACACCAUUUUUACCAGUAUUGUAAUUCUUUGAUUUAUUUAGAAAUAAUAUCCGAUAAUGGCUGCGAUCAUCCUAUUCAGGAAUGUACACUUCCAUUCAAAAGUUGGGGGUCACUUAGAAAUGUCCUUGAUUUUGAAAGAAAAGCAAAUCAUUUUUUUGUCCAUUAAAAUUGAUCAGAAAUACAAUGUAGACAUUGUUAAUGUUGUAAAUGACUAUUGUAGCUGGACACGGCUGAUUUUUAUUUUGAUGGAAUAUCUACGUAGGCGUACAGAGGCCCAUUAUCAGCAACCAUCACUCCUGUGUUCCAAUGGCAUGUUGUGUUAGCUAAUCCAAGUUUAUCAUUUUAAAAGGCUAAUUGAUCAUUACAAAACACAUUUGCAAUUAUGUUAUCAUGGCUGAAAACUGUUGUUCUGAUUAAAGAAGCAAUAAAACUGGCCUUCUUUUGACUAGUUGAGUAUCUGGAGCAUCAGCAUUUGUGGGUUCGAUUACAGGCUCAUAAUGGCUGGAAACAAAGACCUUUCUUCUGAAACUCGUCAGUCUAUUCUUGCUCUGAGAAAUGAAGGCUAUUCCAUGUGAGAAAUUGCCAAGAAACUGAAGAUCUCAUACAACGCUGUGUACUACUCCCUUCACAGAACAGCGCAAACUGGCUCUAACCAGAAUAGAAAGAGUGUGAGGCCCGGUGCAAAACUGAGCAAGAGGACAAGUACAUUAGGGUCUAGUUUGAGAAACAGACGCCUUACAAGUCCUUAACUGGCAGCUUCAUUAAAUAGUACCCGCAAAACACCAGUCUUGACGUCAACAGUGAAGAGGCGUCUCCGGGAUGCUGGCCUUAUUAUUAUUAUUAUUAAUAAUACACAACACAAUAUUUUAGUUGUCAGUGUUUAUAAAAAAUUCUACAAG
rnacentral:lncRNA from 8 species